AAAAUGCGAUACUUGGUGUGAAUUGCAGAAUCCCGUGAACCAUCGAGUUUUUGAACGCAAGUUGCGCCCGAAGCCUUUUGGCCGAGGGCACGUCUGCCUGGGCGUCACGCAUCGCGUCGCCCCCCACAGUUCUCCGCAAAGGGAACUCGUGUUUUGGGGGCGGAUACUGGUCUCCCGUGCUCAUGGCGUGGUUGGCCGAAAUAGGAGUCCCUUCGAUGGACGCACGAACUAGUGGUGGUCGUAAAAACCCUCGUCUUUUGCUUCGUGCCGUUAGUCGCAAGGGAAACUCUUUGAAAACCCCAGCGCGUCGUCUUUUGAUGGCGCUUCGACCGCGACCCCAGGUCAGGCGGGACUACCCGCUGAGUUUAA
rnacentral:misc_RNA from 1 species